ACUCUCUUAGCUCAAUGGCUGAGCGUUGGCUUUGCAAGACACAGGUCGGUGGUUCGAACCCACCAGGGCACA
rnacentral:tRNA from 2 species